UAGAGCGGCGGACGGGUGAGUAACGACGUGGACAAUCUGCCCCCCGGCCCGGGAUAGCCCAGGGAAACCUGGAUUAAUACCGGAUGAGACGGGACCCGCGAAGGCGGGACCCGGGAAAGGCGCUGCGGCGCCGCCGGGGGAUGAGUCUGCGUCCCAUUAGCUAGACGGCGGGGUAACGGCCCACCGUGGCGACGAUGGGUAGCCGGCCUGAGAGGGUGGACGGCCACAUUGGAACUGAGACACGGUCCAGACUCCUACGGGAGGCAGCAGCUAAGAAUCUUCCGCAAUGGGCGAAAGCCUGACGGAGCGACGCCGCCGUGAACGAAGAAGGCCGUGAGGUUGUAAAGUUCUUUCGGGAGGGGGAACAACCGUGGCAGGGAAUGGCCGCGGGAUGACGUGAAUCCCGGAAUAAGCCCCGGCUAACUACGUGCCAGCAGCUGC
rnacentral:rRNA from 1 species